rnacentral:rRNA from 1 species
CGCGUGGGCAAGCUACCCUCAAGUUGGGGACAACCCCGGGAAACUGGGGCUAAUACCGAAUGUGGUACUCUGUCGCAUGACAGGGAUAUUAAAGGCGGGGACCUUCGGACCCGUCGCUUGUGGAGGCGCCCGCGUGCCAUCAGCUUGUUGGUGAGGUAACAGCUCACCAAGGCUUACGGCUAGCUGGUCUGAGAGGAUGGUCAGCCACACUGGGACUGAGACACUGCCCAG